GCUUGUCAGAUAAGGUGUUAAAACAGGCAGCACUCAGGCUCCACUGUGUUAAACCCCUCUACAGAUGUGUCUCGGGUGUUUCUUCCCUCAAGUUUCAACACAGCAGCUUUCUGAAAACCUCUAACAUUUCACAGGUCCUGAAUUUUUGAUGCUGAUAUAUUGCUCAGAGUACCAUGAACAGAUUUGUGUGGACAGAGAUAAAUUCUUCUGUUUAAAAGGGGAAAGGCAGUAAAAAUCAGAAGUGUUCUUCUCACGUAGCCUCCCACUCCUUGUGUUCCUUGUUUGUAUUUUUUACCAAUUCCAACCUGUCAGGCUGUGCUGCUUCCAGUUCAUGGCCAGAACACCCUGGGGAUGAUAAGGAGUGGUGGGGCUCACUCACCUUUGUCCUCGAGGCAUUAGCAGGUGAAAUGUGCUGGGUGUUCGCAAGGGACAGUGCUCAUGGGCUGAGCUUUGGAAACAUCAAACUCAUUUUUAUCAGUCCCUGAAUAGGGUUAAAACUCAUGGGUGAUGAAGAACUUUUGCAUCCUCGUGGUUCUUAAAAGAUCUCUUGAUUUCUCCCUCAUGUUUCUGUUGUUCAGUUAACACCCUCUGGUCUGGUUUUGAUGUGAAAUAAAGUUGGGUCCUGUGGAGCCCUAUUUCUGUUUCGGGACAUUUUCCACAAUUCUUAAUUUGCACAGUGUUUUAGAGUCUUUGCAAGGCAUAUCUCCCAUGAUUUUUAUUUUAACUGCAUGGUUCGUGUAUUAAAAAUUAUUAAAUAAUUCUCCUAUUCUCCUAUUUUAGGAAGAAGUUUUUCCUUACCCAGAAAUUAGCAAUGAAGAACUGGCAGAAAUCAACCAGUUUGUGGGACCUGUUGAAAAGUUCUUCAAUGAAGAAGUGGACUCGAAGAAAAUCGAUCAAGAUGCAAAAAUCCCACCCGAAACCUUACAAGGACUGAAGGACCUGGGUCUCUUUGGCAUGCAGAUUCCAGAGGAAUAUGGUGGGCUGGGCCUGUCAAACACCAUGUAUGCACGUCUGGGAGAAAUCAGCUCCCUGGAUGGCUCCAUUGCAGUGACCCUGGCAGCUCACCAGGCCAUUGGGCUGAAGGGGAUCCUCAUUGCUGGCACCGAGGAGCAGAAGGCCAAGUACCUGCCCCGCCUGGCCUCGGGGGAGCACAUUGCUGCCUUCUGCCUCACCGAGCCCGGCAGUGGGAGUGAUGCUGCAUCCAUCCAGACAAGGGCAACCCUGAGUGAAGAUGGGAAACACUUCCUGUUAAAUGGCUCCAAGGUCUGGAUCUCCAAUGGUGGCCUGGCCAGUAUUUUCACAGUGUUUGCCAGGACAGAGAUUGUGGACAAGGACGGGCAGGUGAAGGAUAAAAUCACUGCUUUCAUCGUGGAGCGGGACUUCGGGGGCGUCACCCAUGGGAAACCCGAGGAUAAACUGGGCAUUCGAGGCUCCAACACCUGUGAAGUACAUUUUGAAAACACCAAAGUGCCUAUAGAGAAUGUAAUUGGAGAAGUUGGAGGGGGAUUUAAGGUUGCCAUGAAUAUCCUCAACAGUGGAAGAUUUAGCAUGGGCAGUGCAUCUGCUGGAAUGAUUAAGAAGUUGAUAGAACUGACAUCAGAGUAUGCUUGCACCAGGAAACAAUUCAAUAAGAAACUCAGCCAGUUUGGAUUAAUUCAGGAGAAGUUUUGUUUGAUGGCUGUGAAAGCCUACGUGAUGGAGAGCAUGGCUUACCUGACUGCAGGGAUGAUGGACAGGCCAGGCUUCCCUGACUGCUCCGUCGAGGCUGCCAUGGUCAAGGUGUUCAGCUCUGAAGGUGCCUGGGCAUGUGUGAGUGAGGCUCUGCAGAUCCUUGGAGGCCUUGGCUACAUGAAGGAUUAUCCUUAUGAACGCUACCUCAGAGACACCAGGAUCCUGCUCAUCUUUGAGGGCACCAAUGAAAUCCUGAGAAUGUACAUUGCACUGACAGGGAUGCAGCAUGCAGGGAAGAUCUUAACUGACAAAAUUAAAGCAAUCAAGAAAGGAAACGUGGGAGUGGCGCUGGGGGAGUUCCUGACCAGGUUACAGGACACCCUGGGCAGGAAGGUGGAUCUGGGGCUUGUAGGUGACAGUGGGGUGGUGCAUCCCAGCCUCCAGGUAAGGGCCUCUCUGCUGAGCUCUUGUGUUUGUUCCCUUUGCUGCUUGCCACAAUUUCAUCUCCUGUUUUUGCAAACCAAAAUGUAUACCUAGGGGCAGUGAGAUUUUCCAGGGUAAGCAGAUGUUGGCACCAUGACAGGGUAAGAAGUUACAGUUAUUGUCCAGGUAUCAAGGGAGGAUGAAGGCUGCUCUAAGCCUGUGUUUAUACCAAAUCCAGUUUUAGAUCCAUUUGGAUAAUUUGUAUAAAUUGAGCCUUCACCAUAUGAAAGCGUUUUUAAUAGCUGCCCUUUGUUAUAAGGUUAGUUACAAAACAGGAGUUUUUCCUGUUUAAUUGGAACAGAGUUUCAGGUCAGAAUGACUGUGAAUUACACAUACACAUACUUGCUUAAUCACUUAGGAAAAGGUUUUUAUGACCAAAAAUGAAUGUUCUGUUAAUAGGAAAAAGAUAAGGUAUAUUUUUCAUGGGGCGUUCUGUUAGUUACUUUUGUUAUCAUAAGCCUAUACUAAAAGUUACUGAGAGUAAACUCCAGAAAAUUGUAAUGGAUCUUUGAGAGAAAGAAAUGUGCCUGUCUGGCUUUUAGCAGCAAGGUGGAUGAAUGUUAAAAAAGAGAAAAUCCAGUAUCCUCUUUAAAGGGGGUGGGGGUAUGUUGCUUUUCUGUUAUAAGACUACUCAAAUUGUUCUAUUUUGUGUUUUGUUUUAUAGGAGAAUGCCAAGAAACUUGAAGAAAACGUUUAUUAUUUUGGAACUACAGUCAGGGGCCUGCUAAGUAGGUUUGGCAAGACAAUAGUGGAUGAGCAGCUGGUGCUGAAGAGAGUGGCAGAUGUGGUGAUUAAUUUGUAUGCAAUGACUGCAGCCAUCUCCCGGGCCAGCCGCUCCAUCAGCAUCGGGCUCAGGAACCAUGACCACGAGGUGCUUCUUACAAAUAUCUUCUGCACAGAAGCCUAUUUCAAGAAUAAUUAUGCCAUGGCUCAAUUAGAAAAAUGUAAGUACUAUAAAAUAGUUCUUACGCUCUUCUGUCUUUCAGACUGUAAUCAAAAAAAGGUGAGUUUGAUGUGACCAACAGAAGAGUUUGGCUCCGCUUUUAAUUGAAACAAGCAGCAGAGCUGGAACCUGUUGAAAAGAGUCUCUUCACUUCAUAGCUAAAGCCAACUGCCAGCGUUCCUUAUUGAGGAAUAUAAUAUCUACAUUUCAUGUAUAUACUUCUGACAAGUAGCUGAUAGAAAUGAGGGAUUUGGACUCUUUGGGAAGUACUGACCAGUUGGGCAUUGGCUCUCUGAAGCUCAGUCUGUAAUAACCAAUCUUUUUCAGAAGAAAAUGUUCAAUUUCUUCCUGGCCCUCACACUCUUGCAUUUGUGUUCAAAAACACUUCUUGAAAGAAAUUUACAACAGCUCUUUGU